UGAAUACGAGAUGCUACGGCAUUGAAGCAGUGUAUGUCAGACUUCCAAGAAAAGCUCGCAAUGUCAUAAACAAUAAAUGCCUGUACCAUAACCGACACAGGUGGGUAGGUAGAGUAUACUAAGGGGCGCGAGAUAACUCUCUCUAAGGAACUCGGCAAAAUGACUCCGUAACUUCGGGAGAAGGAGUGCCUUAUUUUAUAAGGUUGCAAUAACAAGAUCCAAGCAACUGUUUACCAAAAACACAGGUCUCCGCUAAGUCGAAAGACGAUGUAUGGGGGCUGACGCCUGCCCAGUGCCAGAAGGUUAAAGAAGUUGGUUAGCUUCGGCGAAGCUGAUGACUGAAGCCCUGGUGAACGGCGGCCGUAACAAUAACGGUCCUAAGGUAGCGAAAUUCCUUGUCGGGUAAGUUCCGACCCGCACGAAAGGCGUAAUGAUUUGGAUACUGUCUCGGAGAGGGGCUCGGUGAAAUAGACUUGUCUGUGAAGAUGCGGACUACCUGCACCUGGACAGAAAGACCCUAUGAAGCUUUACUGUAACUUGAGAUUGCAAUUGGACUUUAUUUGCGCAGUAUAGGUGGGAGACGUUGAGAAUAUUCUUGCGGGAAUAUUGGAGUCAUCAGUGAGAUACCACUCUUGUAAUGUUAGAUUUCUAACUUUGUAUCAUUAUCUGGUCAAAGGACAGUUUCAGGCGGGCAGUUUGACUGGGGCGGUCGCCUCCUAAACGGUAACGGAGGCGCACAAAGGUUUCCUCUGAACGUGUAGAAAUCGUAUCUAGAGUGUAAAGGCAUAAGGAAGCUUGACUGUGAGACCUACAAGUCGAGCAGGGACGAAAGUCGGUCUUAGUGAUCUGACGGUGCUGAGUGGAAAGGCCGUCACUCAACGGAUAAAAGUUACUCUAGGAUAACAGGCUGAUCUCCCCCAAGAGUUCACAUCGGCGGGGAGGUUUGGCACCUCGAUGUCGGCUCAUCGCAUCCUGGGGCGGUAGUACGUCCCAAGGGUUGGGCUGUUCGCCCAUGAAAGCGGUACGCGAGCUGGGUUCAGAACGUCGUGAGACAGUUCGGUCCAUAUCCGGUGUAGGCGUUAGAAUAUUGAGAGGAGCCUUCUUUAGUACGAGAGGACCGAGAAGGACAUACCUCUGGUGUACCAGUUAUCGUGCCAACGGUAAACGCUGGGUAGCUAUGUAUGGAGUGGAUAACCGCUGAAAGCAUCUAAGUGGGAAGCCCACCUCAAGAUAAGUAUUCUCA
rnacentral:rRNA from 1 species